rnacentral:rRNA from 1 species
UUUACCUACGGGGCGCAGCAGUAGGGAAUCUUCCACAAUGGGCGAAAGCCUGAUGGAGCAACGCCGCGUGAAGGAAGAAGGCUUUCGGGUUGUAAACUUCUUUUAUUGAGGACGAAACAAAUGACGGUACUCAAUGAAUAAGCCACGGCUAACUACGUGCCAGCAGCCGCGGUAAUACGUAGGUGGCAAGCGUUAUCCGGAUUUACUGGGUGUAAAGGGCGUGUAGGCGGGACUGCAAGUCAGAUGUGAAACCCAUGGGCUCAACCCAUGGCCUGCAUUUGAAACUGUAGUUCUUGAGUGAUGGG